ACGUAUCCAACCUGCCGAUGACUCGGGGAUAGCCUUUCGAAAGAAAGAUUAAUACCCGAUGGCAUAGUUCUUCCGCAUGGUAGAACUAUUAAAGAAUUUCGGUCAUCGAUGGGGAUGCGUUCCAUUAGGUUGUUGGCGGGGUAACGGCCCACCAAGCCUUCGAUGGAUAGGGGUUCUGAGAGGAAGGUCCCCCACAUUGGAACUGAGACACGGUCCAAACUCCUACGGGAGGCAGCAUG
rnacentral:rRNA from 1 species